ACAAUUUUGUUACAGAUGCUGAAAAAGCCUCACCAACUCUCUAGGGAAAUUUGAGGUGCCAAGGAACAUGCUGGGCACAGGAUCAAGCGGUGAACAGGACCCUGGGGCUGCCAGUCUGGUGUUGGAAACAGACAGUUGAAUGGACCUACGAUGCGUCUGGGACUCUUAGAAGCUGAGGAUACAGAGGUGGACCAGACAUGAUCUCUGUCUUCAUGGAGCAACUUGAAGAACCUUCUAGCCUUACCUUCCCAUUCAAUAAAUGGGUAAAUUAAGGCCCACAGAGGAGGACUGAUUUAUACAGGUCUUAUGUUGGAAAGAUGGCAGAGUGCUGGAGGCUGGGAAGUUCAAAGUCAUGGCCCUGGCAGGUUCAGUGUCUGGUGAGAUCCCACUUGCUCAUUGGAAGCUGUCUUCUCACUGUGUCCUCACAUGGAGGAGUUAAGAAGCAGGGUCUAUGGUGUAACUAUUGAGUGGAUAGCUGAAGUGGAGAGAAGAACAAGAUUGUUGGGGGUCAAAGACAUCAAGAAAUGGAGAGUCCAAGCUGUUGGUUCAUAGGUCACUGGACCACAAGGAGGAAACCUGAUGAAAGAUCAUUAGUGAUUUUGAGCUUCAACUGGAUGUGGUUGGUUACAGGAUAAGUAUGGAAGGAAGAUUGAAAAGCCUGCCAGGAAGAUGGGAUGAUGCAAGCCUGCUGGAGUUGGGGGCAAGGAGAAAUGAUGGCUUGCCUGCCACACAGGUUGUGGAGUUAGGAAGAAUAAUGCCAAAGCACUUCAGGAACUGUCCAGUGCUGAACAAAUGUAGAGAAGAUGAUGAUGAAGCUGAUGACACUGAUAAUGAAGAUGACGACAAUGAUGAUAAUUGUGCUUUAUACAUGAAGAUACUUGAUUUUUGACGGACUGAUUAGACACAGUUUCCCUGACUAGAGUUAUCUAACACCUUCCUUCUAGAGUUUAUCUGGAUAACCUUGGGAGUGACAUCUGGGGCUAAGGUGUUUCUUCCUGGGAGGAGCCUGUGGCACAGAAAGUGGAAAGGGGGUUGGAUGCUUUGGGCUUGGCUCAGGCUCUGAAUCCAGAAGACAGUGUGGGACCCAAGCCUGCAUUGUGUAGCCCUUCAGUACAGCACAUGAGAAGCUGAUUCCCUUUGGCCUGACUGUUUGGCACUGAAGUCUCAGGUCUCAGACUCAACAUCAAUAAGGAGCUGGAGAGAGGGUGAGGGCCUCUCCCCUACCCCGGGCCACACCUAAGUGGACCAGGCAUGGACAUCUCAGGGGCCUUCCAAGGGGAGCAGUCCAGAGGCUGGGCUGUAUGCACUGCAUCUUGUCUGUGGAGCACUGGAACUUAGUGACACUGAAACUAAAUAGGCCACACCUAAGUGGACCAGGCAUGGACAUCUCAGGGGCCUUCCAAGGGGAGCAGUCCAGAGGCUGGGCUGUAUGCACUGCAUCUUGUCUGUGGAGCACUGGAACUUAGUGACACUGAAACUAAAUAGGGCAGCUUGAGGAUAAUGCAAGUGACAAAC